rnacentral:rRNA from 1 species
UGAACGCUGGCGGCGGCCUACACAUGCAAGUCAAGCGGAAACGAAGAGGUGCUUGCACCUCUGGCGUCGAGCGGCGGUCGGGUGAGUAAUGCUUGGGAAUAUGCCUUAUGGUGGGGGACAACAGUUGGAAACGACUGCUAAUACCGCAUGAUGUCUACGGACCAAAGUGGGGGACCUUCGGGCCUCACGCCAUAAGAUUAGCCCAAGUGGGAUUAGCUAGUUGGUGAGGUAAUGGCUCACCAAGGCGACGAUCCCUAGCUGGUUUGAGAGGAUGAUCAGCCACACUGGGACUGAGACACGGCCCAGACUCCUACGGGAGGCAGCAGUGGGGAAUAUUGCACAAUGGGCGCAAGCCUGAUGCAGCCAUGCCGCGUGUGUGAAGAAGGCCUUCGGGUUGUAAAGCACUUUCAGUAAGGAGGAAAGGUUAAGUGUUAAUAGCACUUAGCUGUGACGUUACUUACAGAAGAAGCACCGGCUAACUCCGUGCCAGCAGCCGCGGUAAUACGGAGGGUGCGAGCGUUAAUCGGAAUUACUGGGCGUAAAGCGUACGCAGGCGGUUUGGUUAGCGAGAUGUGAAAGCCCUGGGCUC